UCGGAGUUAAUGUCCACCUUUCUUCAUUGCUUUGUGUUUUUGGGCUUUGCCUGCCUCUGCACUCCCCCAGGUUUUGCUUCCAUUUUUCCAUGUAUUGUAUGGCAUCGAGAUUUCGAGUUGUUUCGCAUCGGACGCGUGUUCGUUUUGCGAAUAUUUUCGUGUAUUUUGGUUUCAAGAUGGUGCAAGAUGGGUAUGACGAGGGGAUCGAGAGUGUGGCGGGUGGAAGCGUGAUUGAAUAACCAUCGACGAGGAGAUCAAUUGCGGCUUGUGUUGAAGGCGCGUUUUAAGUGCCGAUGUGUGGAGUUCUGGAGGAAUUAGAGUCCCUUGAAAACUUGGGCGAGGGACUUGCAUUGGCGGACUUUUUAUUAGCUUGCAGGAAAAAUCCUUGGCGUGACGAAGUCGUGUGCUGUAGUUUGGUUCUCCGGUGAUGCGUCGGUUGUUAUGGUUGUAGUUGUAGUAGGAGGCGUUUGGUCACCAUUUCCAGUGUUUUCAUGUGUGGAUCUUACUAUUGGAAAGGGGGCGAGACGUUGUGUUCAAGUUUUGGAUCUUAGGCGUGGUGGCUUUUGGUGCCCUAUUAUUCAUCGAACGUUCUAGAAGAAGACAUGGCAUCGAGUGCCUCGAAGCCGCGUACUAGCUCACCGUUCCGGUUUCGAAAAGCUCCAUCUGUUAGUGCGAGCAAGACCUCGCCGUCUGUCAAUGGGAGCAAGACAUCACCAUCGUCCUCGGGUUCACAAACUCCUACUUCUGCAUACAAGACUAUUGGAAUUAUAGGAAGAUCUUUGACACCCGCCAAAGGAAGAGGCAGUAAUAUUCCUACACCUCCCAGUGCCACGCCUCCGCAGAAAUUCCGACAUAGUUCCGCCUCUUCCGCCUCAGCUGGUAGCCCUCGGACUCCAACUUCUGCUAGAGAGGAUUUUCUAAAUCGCGCAAAGGAAAAUGUGUCCGUAACCGUUCGGUUUCGUCCCCUCAGCCAAAGGGAAAUUCAAAGAGGUGACGAAAUCGCAUGGUACGCUGAUGGAGAUACAGUGCGAAGCGAACUUAAUUUAUCAACUGUCUACGCCUUUGACAGAGUAUUUGGUCCUGCAACUACCACCAGGGGAGUGUAUGAUGCGGCUGCCCAACACGUGGUUAGCGGAGCUAUGGAGGGUGUUAAUGGAACUGUGUUCGCGUACGGUGUUACCAGCAGUGGAAAGACACACACCAUGCACGGCGAUCAAAAAUCACCAGGAAUUAUACCUCUGGCCGUCAAAGAUGUUUUCAGCAUAAUUCAAGAGACUCCAAGUCGAGAGUUUCUUUUGCGGGUUUCCUAUCUCGAGAUCUAUAACGAGGUUAUCAACGAUCUGCUGGACCCCAUCGGUCAAAACUUGCGUGUCAGAGAAGAUAGCCAGUCGGGCACUUACGUAGAGGGCAUCAAAGAGGAAGUGGUGUUGUCCCCUGCUCAUGCCCUAUCCCUUAUUGCUGCUGGAGAAGAACAUCGGCAUGUUGGCUCGAACAACUUUAACCUCCUCAGUAGCAGGAGUCAUACAAUCUUCACAAUGACUGUAGAAAGCAGUCCACGAGGCGAUGGGUAUACGGAUGAGGACGUCACCCUUUCUCAGCUUAAUUUGAUUGAUCUUGCCGGUUCAGAGAGUUCAAAGACAGAAACAACUGGUCUUCGCAGGAAAGAGGGAUCAUAUAUCAACAAGAGCUUAUUAACCCUUGGCACUGUUAUUUCAAAGCUCAGUGAUGGAAAAGCGUCACAUGUGCCUUAUCGAGACUCGAAAUUAACGAGACUUUUGCAAUCGUCUCUCAGUGGACAUGGCCGUAUAUCGUUGAUAUGCACAAUCACUCCAGCAACCAGCAACAACGAGGAGACACACAACACACUCAAAUUUGCGCACAGAGCUAAACGGAUUGAAAUCCAUGCUUCCUCCAAUAGGAUCCUCGAUGAGAAGUCACUGAUAAAGAAAUAUCAGAAGGAAAUUACUAGCUUGAAAACAGAGUUGGAACAGCUGAAGCGUGGCAUCAUGGAGCAGCCAUAUGCUGUGAAGGAAAGCAGUGAAGACUUGGCUCAUCUGCGCAAACAGCUGGAAGCUGGACAAGUAAAGUUGCAGUCACGGCUGGAAGAAGAAGAACAAGCAAAGGCAGCCCUCAUGGGGAGAAUUCAACGACUUACGAAGCUCAUUCUGGUCUCCACCAAAAAUACUAUUCCACCUGCUGCAGUUCCUGAGAAACCCAAUCACCGGCGAAGACAUUCUUUUGGUGAAGAGGAGUUGGCUUACUUACCAGACAAGCGAAGGGAUUUAAUACUUGAGGAUGAUGAUGAGGGAGGUCAAGGAGGUGAAUUUGACGCGAAGGGGGAGGGCAGGGACGGCAUUGGCACAGAUGACAGUUGUAAGGAUGAAAAGAAGGCUAUCAAGAAGCGUGGCAUGCUCGCUUGGUUCAAGCUUCGGAAAAAUGAUUCUCUCACUUCAAGUCCCUCAGGGAGCUUCGAUACAGACAAUCUGCCGAACGGGAACGCAGAUGCUUAUGACUCUGUAAUGGAUGUUCAAUGUGCCACACGCAGAAAAUCUUUCAGUCCUAGUGACUCUUUUCCGGAAUCCACUCAAGCGGGGGAACUUUUUAGUGCUACUGUUCGAGGUCGAAGGCCACCUCCAACGGGAACAACUAUGGCCGACCAGAUGGAUCUGCAGAGGGAGCAGGCUAAGAUGCUGGCUGGGGAGGUUGCUUUUUGCACCAGUUCACUGAAACGCUUGACGGAACAAUUAUCCAAUAACCCAGAUGACGCGCAACUUCAAGCUCAAGUGGAGAAAGCUAAGGAUGAGAUUAAUGAAAAGAAACGACAGAUACGGAUGCUUGAGCAGCGCAUUAAAUCUGCGGUCACAUCACAACCUAUUGCGAAUGCCUUUGAGAUGUCUCAGCAAAUUGCAAUGCUUACCACUCAGCUCAAUGAGAAAGCCUUCGACCUUGAGAUAAAAACUGCCGAUAACCGCAUAUUGCAAGAGCAGCUGGAAUCAAAGACUGUGGAGAUCAACGAGCUACGUGAGACAGUUGUAUCACUGCAACAGCAGCUCCAAAUCGCAAUGGUGGAGGGUAAUCUUGGUCGACACAAGCAACUAAAUACCCUUCUAGACAAUCCGGAGGAAAUGGGGGGAUGGUUGAACAAUGGUAAUCUGUCUGGAGAGCUUCAGUAUGUAGAAACAAACGGGUCUGAGAGUGAUAAAUUUGAGCGCAAUUCACAGGCUACCUCCAAGGACAUAGACGACGGAGACGCCCUACUGCAGUCACAGAUCCUGAUGCAGUCUGCUGAGAUUGAGAACCUGAAGCAAGAGAAAGAGAAAUUGAAAGUUAGCAUAGAGAAGCUCAAGCAGGAGAGUUCACGUCUGACUGAGGAGAAAGACAGUCUCCACAUUCGGAAUGAGAAACUGACAGAGGAGUCAGCGUAUGCAAAAGAGCUUGCUUCACAAGCCGCUGUUGAACUCAAGAAUCUUGCAGAGGAAGUUACAAAACUGUCAUUUCAAAAUUCAAAAUUACAAAAUGAUUUGUUACAGGCUGAGGAAGCUACUUUUCAGAAUGCGAAACUGCAAGCUGAGUUGGUAAAGGUGCAAGGCGAACUGAAGAAAUCAGAGGAAACAGCAUUUGCUUUGGCUUCAAUGAAAUCACCUAGCAAUAUUGGGCGAUCGAAAGUGAUGACCAAUGGAGAUACCCACAUCGAUACCGAGAAUACUGUAUCUAGUCGAGGCUCUCUGUCUCGAGCAAAUGGUGGUGUGAAUAGAGGUGGAAGUAAUGUAGCCAGCAAGACUGGAAAGUUCAACUCUAAUGGUAAUCACUUAGAGGAUGUGGAUUCUGACGCAGCUGUUGACAAAUUGAAGAGAGAGCUCGAGGCAGCCAAAGCGAAGGAGUCAACCUUGGUGACAAUCAUGGCUGAGAAAGAGGCAGUACUCCAUAAAGCACUGGAAGACGCCAAGCAACGAGAAACUACUCUAGAGAACGACCUCGCAAGCAUGUGGGUACUAGUGGCAAAGUUGAAGAAGGAAAAAGAGGCAGGCAUGAACCAGUCAAAGGAAAUCCAUUCAAAUCCAUCCCAGGAGUUUCAGGUCAACGGCAGAAGUUUCAGCAACGAGAGGGUUUUAGAUAGCGACAAAAGCACUAUACAAACCCCCAGCAAGCCUGCUAACGGUGAAGAUAUAGAUGCACUAGCUGAACAGCUUGCAAGAACAGAGCUGCAUGACACAUUUGGAAAGAACUUCUGGAGUGGUGGGGGUGAUUCUGUUACUUCAGAUCAAACGGAACUGUGUUCUUCUUAUUCUAACAGUACAUUGCCAGCACUCGUACAAUCAGCGAGUUUCGGCUCAGCCGAUCACCAACCAGUUGAUAGUGUACUCGACCAAUUCAAUCCAUUUGCUGCAAGAAGUGUCCCAGCUUCAAAAGGUUCAAGAGAAGGCAUGCGUUCUCUUGAGGAGCUGAAAAGAUUUAUGGACGAAGAACGGAGGAGAGGUUCAGAGCUAGGUACUCUAGUAUCUCAGCUGAAAGCAAGCUCUAUUCCAACUGCAUCUACGAACCCUUUCUUACCUCAUCACGUUGCUCAACAAGGUGACUCAUCACAAACUGGUGGUAGAUUUGAAGGAGGAUGGACCUCCUUUGAAAGCAACUCCUAUUUCAAGUCAUGAACUUAUAAGCUCCCUGUCACCUUGAAGUUUUUAUGGGGCUUGUACUUCACUUACGUUUGAUAAGAUGAAGGACAGGGAGGGGCCAACGAGUAGCCAUUCAAGUCUUCGAACUUUCGACUUGAUCACUGAAGGGAAAUUGAUGCCGUGCCUCCGCUGCCCUCAGUCUAACGCUCUGCUUCCUCCAGCAAGGCUGACGGAGGUGAAGAGAAGAUCUAUGGUUGAAGCUACAAACAAUAUACUAGGAAGUCUUGAGGUCGAGGUCCUGACAAAGACUCAUGCUGCCAAUAAAAACGUAUGCUUCAAUCUGAUCUAUCAGCAAAUUGUGACCUGAGAACUAUCGAGGCAAGCCUUUGGAAUGUUAAUCAAUAGUAGUGUAGAGGUGUAUUGAUAAUGGUGUGGUGGUCUGAAUUCAAAAAACCACUAUCUUGUUGAGGCUGGUGUACAGUGCCUGAAACACUCCAUCAAAAUAGGACACGUUUAUGUGGUUUUGACAUUCUAACUUAUUUGUUGCAAGAUGUAGUCAACUUGUUACUGUGAUUGUGCAUGCUAAAUGUCAUGUUGUAAAAGCAGGUUUUCCAACUUUGGUGUUGUUUUGGUUU